AGCUGAGUUUGGAUAGAAGUGGGAGGGCUUGGCCAGAAGCUCCACUGAUCUUUGUCUGGCAAAGACAAGGCAGUUAGAGGAAUCUUACUGCUCCCAGGCACUCUGACUGCAGCCUCUACUGGGGCUAUGGUGCUGGUGAAGGUCUAUUUCCAGGUUCAAGGAUUGUAGAGGUUGAGAGUUUGGAGUUACCUCUGCAAAGUAUCUGGGUCUCCUAGUACAGCCGCCACCCAUGGAAUUUCCGGUGCAUCAACAUCAGCUUGGGGACCACAUCCUUAUCAAAAGGUGGAAAGAGGAAAAACUUGAGCUGACCUGGGAAGGGCCUUACCUGGUACUUAUAACCACUGAAACCACAGUCCGGACAGCAGGAAAAGGAUGGACCCCAUCACACCCAAGUCAAGAAAGCACCACCACCUCAGGAGUCAUGGGCCAUUAUCCCAGGGGAAUACUCCCUCAAACUAAAGCUAAAAAAGUUUAACACUCUUCCAUCUAUUCUAUUACUCUUUCUUCUUUGCCCAUUCUAUUGCUGACCACCUUGUUAUUAAUGUAACUAAAUCAAACUCACCCCAAGUUA